rnacentral:rRNA from 1 species
UACGUAGGGGGCAAGCGUUAUCCGGAUUCACUGGGCGUAAAGGGAGCGCAGGCGGCAUGGCAAGUCUGAUGUGAAAACCCGGGGCCCAACCCCGGGAGUGCAUUGGAAACUGCCAGGCUGGAGUGUCGGAGGGGUAAGUGGAAUUCCUAGUGUAGCGGUGAAAUGCGUAGAUAUUAGGAGGAACACCAGUGGCGAAGGCGGCUUACUGGACGACUACUGACGCUGAGGCUCGAAAGCGUGGGGAGCAAACAGG